rnacentral:snoRNA from 1 species
CCCCUCCAGAUUCCUUAGCCCUGAAACCUAAACAGUGGUCUGAGUGGCUUAGAGAAAAAAGGAGAAAAAACAAAACUGAAAUGGAUUUGGAGUCUUGUGACAAACAAGUUCACUUCAAACAAUA